GAUGAACGCUGGCGGCGUGCCUAACACAUGCAAGUCGAACGGAGAUUACGGACGGAAGUUUUCGGAUGGAAGCCUGUAAUUCUUAGUGGCGGACGGGUGAGUAACGCGUGGGCAACCUGCCCUAUACAGGGGGAUAGCAGCUGGAAACGGCUGGUAAGACCGCAUAAGUCGGUUAAAUCGCAUGAUUUGAUCGGGAAAUGAGCAAUCAGGUAUAGGAUGGGCCCGCGUCCGAUUAGCCAGUUGGCAGGGUAAAAGCCUACCAAAGCGACGAUCGGUAGCCGGACUGAGAGGUCGGACGGCCACAUUGGGACUGAGACACGGCCCAAACUCCUACGGGAGGCAGCAGUGGGGGAUAUUGCACAAUGGAGGAAACUCUGAUGCAGCGACGCCGCGUGAGUGAAGAAGUAUUUCGGUAUGUAAAGCUCUAUCAGCAGGGGAAGAUGAUGACGGUACCUGAACUAAGAAGCCCGGC
rnacentral:rRNA from 1 species